UCCCUCGUUUGCCUUGCCUUUGCUAGAGUCCUCUGUUUCUGUCCGCCUCUGCUCCCAGAAGUCCCCUGUUUAUCUCCUUUCCCAGGAUGUCCCAGAAGUCCCCCGUUUGCCUUGCCUUUGUCAGAGUCCUCAGUUUCUCUCCCUCCCUGCUCCCAGAAGUCCCCCAUUUCUCUCUUUUUCCCAGGCCUUCUUCCCCUUCCUCCAUCCCCAACUUGGGGCUUCUCUCUCCCUCCCUCCCUCCCUCUCUCCCUCCUCCAGUCCUGCCAUCAAAUGACUGACACCUGGAGCACAUAUGGGAACAAGAAUCAUGCCAAAAAACUGUGGUUACUCAGGAGUAAGAUAAACAACAAGAUCCUCUUUGAAUCAAAGGGGUACCAAACAGCAACCACCAGCAGAUUCAGAGAGCAAGAGCAUCCCUCGCUCUGCUCCACCGUUGUCAUGAACCAUAACUGUAGGCAUUAGAAGAUUCUAAUGCAGGUGAGAUAAACAACAGCAGCCUCCAGAAUCUUACUGACAUGUGUGAACAGCAAAAGAGAAGGAAAAGGGAAAAGCAGGGAAUCCUGUUUCACCAUCAAUCCCCAAUUGUGUUAGAAAAGCAUCUAGAUGUUUGAACGGAAAUCAUAACAAAAGUAGAGGCUGGUGAAAGAAAACUUCAUCCCUGGAUGCACUUUGGAAGAAGCUUUCAGGUAAUCUCCAGAAUGUUAAAAUGUUUUUUAUUAGGUUUACAAGGCUUACCUUACAUGUGCACAUUAUUAGUUUUGAAUGAAAAUUUUGCUGAGCCUAUCCCUAUUCUUUCCAUGUUCUUUCUCUUAAAGAAGUAAAGUUCAGGAGCAUAUCUGCUUUGUUAACUGUGUAUCUUAAUUUCCUAUGUGCCAGAAAAAUACUGGUGAACUAGACUUUGAAAGGAGGAUAUGUUUUAGAUGACAACUGGCUAGGGCAUUGUGGGCCAUUCUGGAUGAAGGAUUCUGGGAGUUGUAGUCCAACAAAGUAGAUUUUCCAGACAAAGGCACUCAUACAAGAAGCAGACAAUGGACAUUUCUCCCCCCAGAUUUCCUUGCCAGCUUCAACUCAAGGAGCCUUCAGGUAUGUAUGGGAAUUGGGGAGGGUAGGGAGGAAACAUAAAUGAGUUGUGCUUUCCUUUUCCCACAUUACCUCUGGAAACCACAGGGGAGAUUAUUGAGCUCCUGCUCUGGAGAUGAUCCCUGAGUUUUCUUUUUGCUCCCUUCUGCUCUGUGCCUGACACUGUCCCCAUUUUCUCACUUUUCUGUUCCAAGAAAAAGGGAGGUGGAAAGACUUUGUUAUCUGAAAAAGAGUGCAGUAGUCUAAACAUUCUCUGCUCUCUGAUAGAGCAGGUGAAAACACAGGCACACAUCUAAUAACAAACUUUGGUUUUGUGAAGCCAGGGCAUCCAGAGUCAAAGCAUUGGGAUUUUCUGAUUAACAAGGAUGACAACAAUAUUUCCGGCUAACCCUUCCCACCUCUGCUCCUUCUGCAGCUAACUGCAGCCAUCAUGAUACACACAGAAAGUAUAUGGUGAUCCUUUGCCAAAAUCAGCUAUGAGCAAAAAAAUAAAGAGGGGCUUGGAAAAGAUCCAUCCUCGGAGUGUAACUGCUAGAAUGCUCCAGCCAGCAUGGACAAAUCUACGGAUGUUAAUUCUGAUCAGAUUAACCCUGUUUCUGGGUUCUUCAAGAUAGUCCCUGCCUUCUCUCUCUCUCUCUCUCUCUCUCUAUCCAUCUCAGCUUCACUCUGUUUGGUCACUCAGCCUUCUAUAAGAAUUAUUCUGAUAAUGUAAGGUCCUCCCAUGGCCUGAUACUAUGUUCUCAGAAGACAUUUUUGGGCAUUCUCUACACAAGUGGACACAAAUCUGAUCAUAAAAAUGGCAUUGCUCCUGAGCAGAUCACUUGUAGUCUCUCAGGACAGUCAAGUCACUGACCUCAACAUGGCUGUGGUGGCACAAAGGCAUUUCAAAGGGAGAUUCAAAAGGGAAAUGGCUGCAUUAGGAUAUACUUGCAAAUUCCAACCGAUUAGCAGGGGUUUGAACAAAGAUAAUGGCUUCUUAGCACAAUACAAGUAUUAAUAGGCUGGUUUUCAUUACAGUAGUGUGUAUCUUCUUCAAGAUAAGACCCUGUUUUCCACAGAACCAACUUUCCCAAGAGCAGAGUGCCUUGCUUUCACAUUUAAGGACAAUUAACAUCCAAACAGUAAGCAAACCUGUGUAUUAGCUGACAGAUAACCAGAAUGUUUCUGUUAAGCUCUUUGAAGGUUUAUACCUGAUGUGACAAUUGUCCCUUUCUGUCUCUCAUUUCACUUUUAUCCUACCCUCACAACUGUGUAAUGUGAGCAUUUAUUAUUGAAGCUUGAAUGUUGUUCUCCAACCAAAGAAAUAAUGGAUUAUAAUCCUUAAACUGUAUGGUAAAAUAAACAAGUUACUCUUCAAAGUACCACAGGACUCCUUAUCUAUGCUUUCCUUCCUUAUUUUUAAU